ensembl:lncRNA
AUAAUUACAAACACAGCUGAACUCUUUGAAGAAAGAGAUCAUAAUUUUAUGGAAGCAUAGACCAAGAGCAACAGACCUAGAGUGAGGCACAGGAAAGGUUUUCCUGAGGAAUUACAACACACAAACCCAGACCUGAACAAUGUGUGGGAGACAAGCCUCAGUUGGAAGGGAAGCAAUGUAUUUUACAGUCUGAGGCUAUUUGGAGGAAGAUGGUCUGAGUUUCUGCAAGAACCACGUUGCAGUCAGGGGUCCCUAAGACUGUCCUCAAGUUAAAUAAAAUGACCGCCCUCAGAAAGAAAACUUGCCAGUGACUCACUAGAAGGACUUACAGAACUCAGAAAAGCUGUUAUACUCACAGUUUAUUACAAUGAAGGGAUGCAGAUUAUGAACAGCAAAGGGAAACAGAUUGAGGGGGUAAGGUCCAGGAGAAACCAGGCUCGCGUUUCCAGGUGUUCUCUCUCCCUGGAUUUCUGUAGAUAGCACUACUUUUCUCAGCAAUGAUGUGUGACAACACUUAAGGGACGCUGUCAUCUAGAGGAGCUCCCCAGCUUUGGGGUACAGGGUUCUUAUUGGGAUUUUGUCACAUAAGCAUGGAGUGCCCACAGAACUGACCUUAGUUCUCAGUGUCUAGCUACCCCAGGUCUCAAACUGAUAUGGCAUGGCUCAAGGACCCCACCAUACAUCAUGCUGUUAGCAUAGACUUUCUGGAGGAUCCCCAGCCUUAUCAGGGAGCAUAUUCCAAGAGUCUGGAUCUCAUCUCCCAGGAGCCAGUCAAGAGCUAGAAGAUUUGGAAUGUGCAGGGUUUGAACACUCCAAAGCUGCUGAUUUAACCCUGUACUGCGCAAGCAUGAAUGAUGACAGAAAGUCCAGUACGGGAGUUCUAUGGAAACAGAAGACAAAAACAUUCAUAUGUCCUGAGCAGUGCUGGUAGCAGCAUGAAUUCUAUCAUACUUUCCCUGCAUGCCUGGGGAACAGGGAGCUUGUACCAGGCCUCUGCCCACCUGGGAAGGCCAUCCUUGCCUCUCUAGCAGAGGCAGGCAGGAGGGAGGCUGGCCUGGAGGUCCUUGAGGUCUCUCAGGACUCAACCCAACCUCAGGGCAUAAGGCUGCACUGUGUCCCAGGCUGAGGAUACCUCAAGCCAGAAGCAAGCUCUCCACAUGUUAGCUUCUCAAAUCAUGGAUGAGAAAACGAUGAGGACAGAACAUUCAUGCACUGAUGGAAACAGAGACAGGAGCUCAGAGAUCCAGAAGGAGGAGGGGCUGCAGAAGUGUUGACAUUCCAGAUCAGGGUCCUGGAACCAGGAGAUAAUCAGAUAAUCUUGCUUAUCUUUGCCACGAAGGGACUCAUCCCUAUAGCUCGGAACACUCAGAAUCACAACCCCAGAUGAGCCAUUGGAUACAUGAAGGCACCUUUUAAAUGUGGCCACUGUGCAUGCGUAGCCUGGAGGCAGAGAGCCAACAGAACCCACUGCACACCCAGCCCUCUGGUGAGAGACCUCAACAGCAGCUCUGGCAGCCACUGGGCAGUGACAACACCCUCCCUCUGCCUGAUGCUUGUCACUCAGGCAGGGAGGCAUCAGAGUCCUGGGCUCCUGUUUGACAUUCCCCCCCAUGGGUCCCCUUGGCUUUGGGGAGCUGGGCCUGGGAUGUCCUCUCCUCUCCCAGGCCUUGUUCACCCCCAGCCACGUCGGGCUGCCCAGCGCACCUGGCCCUCCCCACGCUCAUUCUGCUGCAUUAUUUAUUCAAGCCAGCAAGGUCUAUUUAUAGCUCCUCUCAAAGGCAGCAGCUGCUCAGUUCCCGGGAAAGUAGAACACUGAGAAAUUAAAGAAGUGUUUUCAAAAGAAAAAAACGUCCUCUCAUGGACUCAGGAGGUUGCUGUCCCAAUGCAUCUUCCAAAAAUACGCCUCUCUGGCAGUGCUCUGAAGAAUGAGAAAGCUCAGCGCCUGUCCAGCACCUUCCCCCAACCCAGAGCCCAGGUCACUCCCUGAACACAGGUCCACCCAACUGAAAUGGGUAGGGCCGAGAGAAACAGCUAAAUAACAAUAAAUGAUGGGG